rnacentral:tRNA from 1 species
UCAAAUUAUAGUUUAAUAAAUAUUAGCAUUGGAAGCUAAAGUUUGGGUAAAGUUAAUCCCAUGUUUGAU